rnacentral:rRNA from 1 species
UGCAAGUCGAGCGGUACAUUUCUAGCUUGCUAGAAGAUGACGAGCGGCGGACGGGUGAGUAAUGCUUGGGAAUAUGCCUUAUGGUGGGGGACAACAGUUGGAAACGACUGCUAAUACCGCAUAACGUCUACGGACCAAAGGGGGGGAUCUUCGGACCUCCCGCCAUUUGAUUAGCCCAAGUGAGAUUAGCUAGUUGGUGAGGUAAUGGCUCACCAAGGCGACGAUCUCUAGCUGGUUUGAGAGGAUGAUCAGCCACACUGGGACUGAGACACGGCCCAGACUCCUACGGGAGGCAGCAGUGGGGAAUAUUGCACAAUGGGCGAAAGCCUGAUGCAGCCAUGCCGCGUGUGUGAAGAAGGCCUUCGGGUUGUAAAGCACUUUCAGUUGUGAGGAAAGGUGGGUAGUUAAUAGCUGCUCACUGUGACGUUAGCAACAGAAGAAGCACCGGCUAACUUCGUGCCAGCAGCCGCGGUAAUACGAGGGGUGCAAGCGUUAAUCGGAAUUACUGGGCGUACAGCGUUCGUAGGCGGUCUAUUAAGCAAGAUGUGAAAGCCCAGGGCUCAACCUUGGAACUGCAUUUGAACUGGUAGACUAGAGUACUGUAGAGGGUGGUGGAAUUUCCAGUGUAGCGGUGAUAUGCGUAGAGAUUGAUGAUCAUCAGUGUCGAUGCUGUCACCUGGACAGAUACUGACGCUGAGACGA